GAGGACAGAUGGUGCCCGUACCGCAAACCGACACAGGUAGGCGAGGAGAGAAUCCUAAGGUGAGCGGGAGAACCCUCGUUAAGGAACUCGGCAAAAUGACCCCGUAACUUCGGGAGAAGGGGUGCUCAUUCAGGUGCAAGCCUGGAGGAGCCGCAGUGAAAAGGCCCAAGCGACUGUUUAUCAAAAACACAGGUCUCUGCGAAGCCGAAAGGCGAAGUAUAGGGGCUGACACCUGCCCGGUGCUGGAAGGUUAAGGGGAUGAGUUAGCCCUUCGGGCGAAGCUUUGAACCGAAGCCCCAGUAAACGGCGGCCGUAACUAUAACGGUCCUAAGGUAGCGAAAUUCCUUGUCGGGUAAGUUCCGACCCGCACGAAAGGUGUAACGACUUGGGCACUGUCUCAACGAGGGACCCGGUGAAAUUAUACUAUGCGUGAAGAUGCGCAUUACCCGCGACAGGACGGAAAGACCCCGUGGAGCUUUACUGUAGCCUGAUAUUGAAUGUUGGUACAGCUUGUACAGGAUAGGUGGGAGCCAGAGAAACCGGAGCGCUAGCUUCGGUGGAGGCGCCGGUGGGAUACCACCCUGGCUGUACGGACAUUCUAACCCAGGGCCGUGAUCCGGUCCGGAGACAGUGUCAGGUGGGCAGUUUGACUGGGGCGGUCGCCUCCCAAAAGGUAACGGAGGCGCCCAAAGGUUCCCUCAGAAUGGUUGGAAAUCAUUCGCAGAGUGUAAAGGCAGAAGGGAGCUUGACUGCGAGACCUACAAGUCGAGCAGGGACGAAAGUCGGGCUUAGUGAUCCGGCGGUUCCGCAUGGAAGGGCCGUCGCUCAACGGAUAAAAGCUACCCCGGGGAUAACAGGCUUAUCUCCCCCAAGAGUCCACAUCGACGGGGAGGUUUGGCACCUCGAUGUCGGCUCAUCGCAUCCUGGGGCUGUAGUCGGUCCCAAGGGUUGGGCUGUUCGCCCAUUAAAGCGGUACGCGAGCUGGGUUCAGAACGUCGUGAGACAGUUCGGUCCCUAUCCGUCGUGGGCGCUGGAAAUUUGAGAGGAGCUGUCCCUAGUACGAGAGGACCGGGAUGGACACACCGCUGGUGUACCAGUUGUUCCGCCAGGAGCACAGCUGGGUAGCUACGUGUGGAAGGGAUAAGUGCUGAAAGCAUCUAAGCAUGAAGCCCCCCUCAAGAUGAGAUUUCCCAUCACUUCGAGUGAGUAAGAUCCCUCAGAGACGAUGAGGUGGAUAGGCCCGAGGUGGAAGCGUGGUGACACGUGGAGCUGACGGGUACUAAUCGAUCGAGGACUUA
rnacentral:rRNA from 1 species